GAGUACGGAAGUUUAGUGCCUGCUCACUCAAUGCUUGUGAUUACAAACAAUGAAAGCAAAUACGUUAUGAGGCAUAAAUACUGUGACUUAAACCGUGUUAAAUUUACAACAUUAGAGUACACGGGAAGUUAGAGAGCUAUAGUAAAAGAUGAGACUUUUUUCAAUAACCCAGGUAGCACAGUUGUUAAACUGUUUUUGACAUAUCGAUAAGGCGCCAACAUGUUGACAAAACGAUCAGAAAUUUAUAUGUCACCGAAAAAAUAUCUACUUAAAAAAAAUUGACGCAAUUGACGACAAAAAAUAAAUUACAAAUAAUGUUCAAUAACAAUUUAAACUAUUCACCAAAGAAGUGAACUGUCAAUUGAAUAAUGUAAUCUGAAUACGAAAAUCGUUGUUUUCAUCAGUUUCAAUUUAAUUUUGAUUAAAAAAGGAUCCCAAUCGUUACUAUUGAAAUAAACCUAGAACGUUUAUAUUUAAAACAAAUGGCAACGUUCAUAUAUGAAGACAAAUGGCAGAAUGUAUCGACAAAUCUCAUCGAUAAACUUAGCGUAUGAAAAUAAUAUUGACACUGACAAUCCAGUACAAUGGCAUGCUUGGAAAUCGACAAUAGUCGUGAUCGGAUUUGAAUUGGUUCGGGUUUAAAUGUUAAUUCUUCUUUGUUUAUUGGGGGAAUCAUCCUCAGUAAAGUCUGGAAGUAUCUAUUUCUUUGAUAUUCUAUAAUGUUGGGUAUCGAUAUUUUUUUUUAACUAUUUUUAACUACGUCAGCCAUUUCCUUUACUGAUUCUCGUAAAUGUAACCGGCCUCUUUCAACUAGAUUUGCCAACCGUAUAUUCGUUGAGUGAUAAUUAUUUUCUUUGAUAAUGUUAUUACGUUUAACAAAUAUACGCCUUGAUUCGCUAAUACGUCGCAUUUUUCCUACGACCACUAUUUUUGAUCGCCAUGUAAGCCAUUCUCGUGGAUUGUCGGUGUGAAUAUUAUUUUUAUCCAGUAUAUCGACGAGGUACGAGGUAUACCCGAGUCGAAAAAUAAUUCCGGUUUUAGACCUCAAAUGCAAGAUUUUGAGGUUUGCCUCAGUUUGUCCUCACCAUUUAAAAUUCAUAUAAAUCUGAGAUAAGGUUAGUCUCAUUUUGUGUGACUUUUGCAACUUUCAGAAGUAUAUGAGGUUAACCUCAUGUAUAUAUUUCUUAUCGAUGAGACCAAUAUGAGGUUUAUCUCACAUAUAGUUCUUAUGGAUGAGACCAAGAUGAGGUUAACCUCACAUAUAUAUUUCUGAUAGGUGAGACCAAGAUGAGGCUUAACCAAUUAGUUAAGCUGUUGAGGCUUAAUUGAGACAUGUCCGACAAAAACUGCCGAAUGAGACCUAAAUGAGUCCAAAAUCCACCGUUGAGGCCAAAAUCCGGUAU